GCAACGUUGUUUUCAACUUGUCUUUAUCUCCAUCCCUACCAUAAAGACAAAAUUCAUGCUCAACCAAGAAUGUUGUAGGAGUUCUUUGAGAAAUUUUCCCCUUAACACCUCCUAUAAGACCAAGGAGAUUAAUUUGUUUUGCUAGGUGUCUAACCUUUGGAAUAACUCUUGUAUCCUACCAUUCAUGCCUUGAUAAAAAGGAUUAAGAGAGGUAGAUAAGAAGUUCCACACCUGGGUUUUCUUAGUUUGAUAUUCAGCUUCCACCUUGGAGCUCAAAGCUUCAGCAUCAAUCUCAUUGAGUAGAUCUUCCGCAUCAAAGACAGCAUGUUUGAGCUCAUUGAGCCAGCUUCCCACAACAGGGUUGACAAUCUGCUUCUCCUCUGCAUCAUUGAGCACUGCAUGAAGGGUUAACUGACACGCCCCGUUCCCGAUAUUUCCCCGAAUACCAGGAUAGGCACGUGCUGGCCGACACCAGAGGGUGACGAAAGCCAUUUAUUGAGUGCAAAUGCCGAAAACAAUGAAUAAUGAAUAUGCAUUUAAGGAACGUGUUCAGAGCACACAUCUAAUCUAGAACAUAAAAGAAUUAAUGUAAAAAUUUAAUGAACACAGAAGUGGGUCCUACACCGAGAGGACUCGAAGAUACCGAUGCGGAAGUGCCUGGAUGCCGGGAUUGUACGCCUCGAUUCUAAGUCCUGAAGGGGGCGCAAAACAAACAUGAGUGGACCAAUUUGAUAUAAAUAUAAUAAAACAGUUAUCAACGUACUAACCCCCAGGUUUAUGAAAACAUAUAUAUAAUGAUAAACAUAGGUUUUCCGAAUUCUAGCAUGAUGCAGUAUCUCAAAUCAUAACUCAUAUAUAUAAUAAUCACUAGUGAAUUGUCCGAUAACCUGCAGGCCCCAUGCCGGCUCCCCGUCUUUGAGCAGACAGUCAGAGGAAAAUACACUUCAGGCCCCAUGCCGGCUCCCCGUCCCUGUGCUAAAUAGCCAGAGGGAAACAACUCCAGGCCCUAUGCCAACACCAAACCGUCGCCCGGGACGGACCGGAAUCUAUCCCCGAACCCUAUCCCGUAGCGAAAGGACCACUAGGUAAAUACAGUACAAAACCAUUGAAAAACAUACAUAUAUGAAAAAAACUUCAUAGUAUAAAGUCAUCCAUCAUCUAUACUAUAAAGAGGUGUUCGAAACAUGUUCUAAAUAUCAUAUCGUCAUCCAUCAGAUAUUCUAUAAGAACACGGGGGUUAUAGGAAAAAAUAGUAAAUAAUAAUAAUUCAAGGUAGUAGCCUCAGUAAGCAUGUUAUCUCACAAAACGUUUCAUAAAACGUAAAUAAUCAUUAAAUCAUGCAUUUCAUGUAUGCAUUUCUACUAUUAUUAAACAUGCUUUUGAAGGGGUCCACUCACAGUACUUAGCCGCCGAAGAGCCACGCAAACUAACGUCACCAAUAUUGCCCCUAAGCACAUAAAGGGUCCAAUUAAUAAAACUAUAUAAUAGCAAUUGGAUUUGGGAAAACGGACGUUGGAAACGGAUUCAGAACGUCGAAUUACCCUAAGAAGGGUCCCGGACGAAAACCCGAAAAGUCAACUCUAAAGUCAAUGUUGACCGGAGGUCAACGGUCAAAUUAGGUCUAACAGGUUUUAGGCUUGAAAUCCGGAUUAGGGUUUAGGUUAAAUAGGAUUAGGAUUUAUUGGGUUUUGGUUUUAGGGUUCUAAGAUUAAAAGGGUUUGGGUUAUAAAGGGUUUAGGGUGAAAAUGGGUAGUUUGGGCUUAAACCCCAAACACACACACACACCACAAACAAACACACACACACACACGGGCUGCACACACACAGCCCAUACACACACGGCCCAAAGGCCUAAUAACCAAAAGGGUUGGGUUUUGGGUUCUAAAGGGAAUGGGUUUUUAAAAGAAAAAGGGCUUAGGGCCCUGACUUGGAAAGCCCAAGGGCUUAAAAGCCUAGGGUUUUCUGGGUUGCUGCUCACGGGCCGAAGGCCCUGUUCCAAAUUGGCCCAAGGGGGAAAGGAAAGGCCGGAUGGCCUGGGUUUGUUGAAAGAGAAGGCCGGAAAUUCGGCCGGAAAACCACCUAACUUUAAACGGCCAUAACUUUGUCAAUACUCAACGAAAUCAAGCAAGACAAAAAUGAAAGUUGUAGCCCUUGAAGAGACGAAGAGAAUGGUACCUCACACGACGUCUAACUCGCCGUGGUUUGGCCGGAAAACGCCUCGAAAUCCGUCGGACUCGCCGGAAACUGGGUAAGAUUCAAAUGAGUAUAACUUCUUCAAUACUCAACGAAAUUAAGUGAAACAAAAAGGAAAGUUAUACUACUCGACGAGACGAAGAGAUUGAUACCUUGCACGCCGGCCAACUCGUCGUGGUUUGGCCGGAAAUGGCCUCGAAAGGGGGCGGUGCCUCGCCGGAGCUUACUCCGUGCCGUCGAACUCGCAGGGCAGGGUCCGGGGUUCGUUGCGAGCCUCUCUUCGAUGGUGACUCGGUCCUAGUGAGUCCAGGGGAAGAGAGAGAUGCGAGAGGUUGAGGGAGAGAGAGACAGGAGAGCUGAGAAGGAGAGAGCUACGGGAGGGAGAAACGAAGAAGAAGAAGAGAGAGAUCAGAACACAUAAAAAAAAUAAACAAGGUGGGCCCCACGGGCUCACCAAUUAAGGCUUUAAAACAAUUUUAAAAUAUAAAGGAGGGUUGGGGUGUUUCAAUCUACCACCCUUAUAAAAAAAUUUCGUCCUCGAAAUUUAAAACAACUUACUACACCGAAAAUACUUGAAAAUAGGAAGAAGAAUAAUAUAUAUAUAUAUGUAACGAAGAGAUCAGGUAAGAGCGGUUUCACAAAAGAGAAAAUGCCACGCCGUCGCGAUCGGCUGCAAUGAUUCCAUCUUUCGUGCCUCCAGGCUCAAACUUUUUUUUUUUUCCAUCAGUGUAAAAAUAGAACACAUACUUUAAUAAAAUAUAAAGUUGAAAACACAAAAUAGCUUAAGGCCAGAUAACGUCAAAAUAGAUAUGUACUAACAUAUAGUUCACAAACUCGAAUCAACUUAAAAAUAAAAACAGAAAUACUUUUCCAAAAACAUUUGUAACGUCAAAACAAUUAACUAGAGUAAAUGAAGUUAAAAUACUUAUACUGAAAACCAAAACUGAAAAAUGAGAGUGGGUCUCGCCCAAGAAUUCGAAAUGUCAUAUAUUCUGAGAAUAGAUGUGCCUUUAGGUCGAGUCCCAAGAAAUAAAAAUUCUGAAUCUGCAUCAGCUGCUGUAGACGAAUCUUCUUGCCCACUUGCUUAACGAACCCACCAAAUAAGCUAUCGAUAUCACAGUCUGCAGCCCGCAAUAUCGACCUCACAUUUGUUGUCUCGAUAGGCAAGUAGUAAUUUCUCAAAUGGUGUACAAUUUCACAUAUCGUAGGAUCGAUCCUCCAAAUACAAGUUCGCAAGACUUUUCAGUCAACCAGUGUUUUCCAUGAAAAACUAUCGUACCAGGUCGUAAAAAGUACCAUACACCAAACCGAACAAAACAGAAACUGUCGUCAUAAAACUCUAUCCAGCACCAAGCAUCAUAUCCUUCUCAGUUCUUCCAAAUGUGACCAACUACUUCAGAAUUUCACCAGUAAAGAACCCAUUUGAAAAUUGUACCUUGGGAUUCAAGAGAAGUGGCUACCAUGUUAGUAGUAGACCCAAAAGCUCAAAUCAAGCAAGCAGAAAACGAGAAGUCAUCUUCCUCAACACGCAGUAUCUCUUACGAACUGUUGUAGUGCUCAAUCCACCUCUCCAUUUUUGCUUAGUUGCAGAUUUCAAGUCAAACAAGAUCAAAAUUGGUGGAAAGAAGAACGACUCGCAAAUGGUCAUCCUAACAACCAAAGACCACACGCACAUUUCGAGAGAAGUGUAAAGAUUAUCCAAUUCUCGCUUCGACCGUCCUGUAGUGCCAUCUCAGAAUGCACCAAACAGAUCUGCUAGAAAUGUUUUAACAACCACGUACUCACAAUAAUAAGGUUCAGAAGUGGAGCAAUGGAAAUGUGCGUUGAGGCGAACACAUAUAGUUGGAAAAUAACCGAUGUGAUGCCUAUGAAUUCUAGUAAGAUGGUGAUACAAUAUGCUGACCUUCUGCACCAAAAUCUUCACCAGUCUCUUACCAAAAUACAGCUUAAACCUCAUACCCACAUGGAAUUCUUUAUGGUAAGUCUGGUAAGCUUGUGAAAAGAUUAUGCUCCCAACAUUCAUGUCCGAAUCAACACGAACUGGGUGCCCACUUUCACCGAAACGAUCGAUUGUGAAUUUCUCACUGGUUAGGCGAGAAACCAUGUCGAGAAGGCUAAAAUAAUACUCAAGAAUUUGAGGAUCAAAACAAGUCCAUAAAAAGAUAGAUUACAAGAAAUCAGGAUUUGAACUAGAAACCACGCCAAGAACAAGCUCAUAUUGUUCUGGCAUGAUUCAAUUUUAUAUUGAGAAACCAACAAGCGAAGGAAGAUAAAGAUGCAGAAAUAGAGUCAUUGUUUCUGAUUAUUUUGCAAAUCAUCACAGUAUGGUCAACUGGUUCUUAGCCAAAAGGAAAUAGGUCUAAGCUCAAGGAUAGUUAAUAACUGAUAAUAAGAUUUAACGAGGUCAAAACAUUACGAGAUUCACAAUACUUUGUGAGAGUUGUUUCAAAGUUCAGAAAUUAAACAUAGAAUCUCUGAAUCAGCAGAAUGACGAAGAAGAAAGAUACAAAGCAACCUGCGUAUGCAUGCAGUGACACGAUUGGCUACCUUAAAGUGAUGCUCUUGAGCAAACCAAAGCUCAAUGAGUCCAGAGAAGUUUAGAGUAAAGUUCGAUCUUCGUACAAUGAUAAACAUGGUAGAGUCUCAAGCCAUUACAAUGAAAAUUACAAGACUGAACAUUUAGGCUGCAAGCAAUAGACUAAGUUCACCUUCGCCAAAAAGUACGCAGACGAGGAAAUAGGGUUUGCCACCAGGUACCCAACCCAGGUGAAAUUCAAGGAAUCUGUUUAUCCAAACAAAACUGGAUAUUCAUCAUCCAAAUCCAACUACAACAACAACAAGAAUUGCAACUCAAUUUGAAAAUUAAUGAGAAUAACGUCUGCUACUGAGGAGUUUCUCAAGAUUUCAAUGUAGAGCCGACUCCGCCCGCAAUUCCUAGGGAACGCAUGUUGCAGAGUGGCAUCGCCAUUUCAAAUCUACAGCUGGUUUUAACCAGAAUUCCUCAAAUUGAGAUUUCUAAAACACGUCGCUGAGUAUCGAUCCGAUGCUGAAAGUCGUCCAACGAUUCAAACACGUCACCGAUGAGGCACAAUCCCGACACGAAUUCUUGAAUUUCAACAAGAAGGUGACAAUUCAAUCAGAGAGAGAUUCACACAACUGCACCGACUGGCACAAAAUCCGGAAGUCGUGACAUCCAAAUGAUGUCAAAACCAACACUUUAAGAGAAUAGAAAAGAACCCUAAGUAUGCUCUGAACAAACCACGCUCUGAAACCAAUCUGACACGCCCCGAUCCCGAUAUUUCCCCGAAUACCAGGAUAGGCACGUGCUGGCCGACACCAGAGGGUGACGAAAGCCAUUUAUUGAGUGCAAAUGCCGAACAAUGAAUAAUGAAUAUGCAUUUAAGGAACGUGUUCAGAGCACACAUCUAAUCUAGAACAUUAAAAGAAUUAAUGUAAAAAUUUAAUGAACACAGAAGUGGGUCCUACACCGAGAGGACUCGAAGAUACCGAUGCGGAAGUGCCUGGAUGCCGGGAUUGUACGCCUCGAUUCUAAGUCCUGAAGGGGGCGCAAAACAAACAUGAGUGGACCAAUUUGAUAUAAAUAUAAUAAAACAGUUAUCAACGUACUAACCCCCAGGUUUAUGAAACAUAUAUAUAAUGAUAAACAUAGGUUUUCCGAAUUCUAGCAUGAUGUGCAGUAUCUCAAAUCAUAACUCAUAUAUAAUAAUCACUAGUGAAUUGUCCGAUAACCUGCAGGCCCCAUGCCGGCUCCCCGUCUUUGAGCAGACAGUCAGAGGAAAAUACACUUCAGGCCCCAUGCCGGCUCCCCGUCCCUGUGCUAAAUAGCCAGAGGAAACACACUCCAGGCCCUAUGCCAACACCAAACCGUCGCCCGGGACGGACCGGAAUCUAUCCCUACGUCCCGUAGCGGAAAGGACCACUAGGUAAGUACAAAACCAUUGAACAUACAUAUAUUGAAAAACAACUUCAUAGUAUAAAGUCAUCCAUCAUCUAUACUAUAAAGAGGUGUUCGAAACAUGUUCUAAAUAUCAUAUCGUCAUCCAUCAGAUAUUCUAUAAGAACACGGGUUAUAGGAAAAAUAGUAAUAAUUCAAGGUAGCCUCAGUAAGCAUGUUAUCUCACAAAACGUUUCAUAAAACGUAAUCAUUAAAUCAUGCAUUUCAUGUAUGCAUUUCUACUAUUAAAACAUGCUUUUGAAGGGGUCCACUCACAGUACUUAGCCGCCGAAGAGCCACGCAAACUAACGUCACCAAUAUUGCCCCUAAGCACAUAAAGGGUCCAAUUAAUAAAACUAUAUAAUAGCAAUUGGAUUUGGGGAAAACGGACGUUGGAAACGGAUUCAGAACGUUGAAUUACCCUAAGAAGGGUCCCGGACGAAAACCCGAAAAGUCAACUCUAAAGUCAAUGUUGACCGGAGGUCAACGGUCAAAUUAGGUCUAACGGGUUUUAGGCUUGAAAUCCGGAUUAGGGUUUAGGUUAAAUAGGAUUAGGAUUUAUUGGGUUUUGGUUUUAGGGUUCUAAGAUUAAAAGGGUUUGGGUUAUAAAGGGUUUAGGGUGAAAAUGGGUAGUUUGGGCUUAAACCCCAAACACACACACACACCACAAACAAACACACACACACACCGGGCUGCACACACACAGCCCAUACACACACGGCCCAAAGGCCUAAUAACCAAAAGGGUUGGGUUUUGGGUUCUAAAGGGAAUGGGUUUUUAAAAGAAAAAGGGCUUAGGGCCCUGACUUGGAAAGCCCAAGGGCUUAAAAGCCUAGGGUUUUCUGGGUUGCUGCUCACGGGCCGAAUGCCCUGUUCCAAAUUGGCCCAAGGGGGAAGGGAAAGGCCGGAUGGCCUGGGUUUGUUGAAAGAGAAGGCCGGAAAUUCGGCCGGAAAACCACCUAACUUUAAACGGCCAUAACUUUGUCAAUACUCAACGAAAUCAAGCAAGACAAAAAUGAAAGUUGUAGCCCUUGAAGAGACGAAGAGAAUGGUACCUCACACGACGUCUAACUCGCCGUGGUUGGGUCGGAAAACGCCUCGAAAUCCGUCGGACUCGCCGGAAACUGGGUAAGAUUCAAAUGAGUAUAACUUCUUCAAUACUCAACGAAAUUAAGUGAAACAAAAAGGAAAGUUAUACUACUCGACGAGACGAAGAGAUUGAUACCUUGCACGCCGGCCAACUCGUCGUGGUUUGGCCGGAAAUGGCCUCGAAAGGGGCGGUGCUCGCCGGAGCUUACUCCGUGCCGUCGAACUCGCAGGGCAGGGUCCGGGGUUCGUUGCGAGCCUCUCUUCGAUGGUGACUCGGUCCUAGUGAGUCCAGGGGAAGAGAGAGAUGCGAGAGGUUGAGGGAGAGAGAGACAGGAGAGCUGAGAAGGAGAGAGCUACGGGAGGGAGAAACGAAGAAGAAGAAGAGAGAGAUCAGAACACAUAAAAAAAAUAAACAAGGUGGGCCCCACGGGCUCACCAAUUAAGGCUUUAAAACAAUUUUAAAAUAUAAAAGAGGGUUGGGGUGUUUCAUUAACAACGUCAGCUUCAACUUCUCCAUGAGCGAACAAUCAAGCUUUUUCCCCCGAAACAGAUCCAAGAACUCGCCGGAACCAAUCUUAUCGCACAUCACGUGGAUGGAAGCAGAGAGAAAAGCCUCUCCAAUCAAAGCUCCUGCCAUUUCACCUCUCUAUCUCUGUUUUUCUUUUUUCUUCGAAAAAUUGUUAGAGGUGAGGAAGAAUAAGAGACUUAUAGGAUUUAUUGUUUUGGAAAGAGACGACUUGAUAAAUAAAUGGCAUUAUCACAACUUAGGGGUGGUGAGCAAUCCCGUUAAAAUAGAACUUAAUAUAUACAUAUUAAAAACAAAAACAAAUUGAUGCAAAAUCUCCCAACGACUAAUACUAUUUCAAUUCAUGCAUGAAACAGACACAUUUGUCCUUUCAUGCUACUUGGUUAUAAGCAAACAUCAUGCAUUUAUUAAUACUAUUCCAAGUCAUGCAUGAAACCUACACAUUUGUCCGUUCAUGCCACUUGGUUAUAAGCAAACAUCAUGCACAAGUUGUUUACUAAUUAGCAUUACUACUAUUAGCAUGUAUCAUGACCGUUUUCUUUCUGUUAUUCAUAAGCCCAAGACAUUGUAAGAAAUAAUGUUGAUUAUUCAAAACGAAUCAACAACUAGUUGCAGUGAUACUUCCAACUUGAUAAAGAAAGGGAAAAAAAGGAAGUCGACUUCCAAACUAAAAUAAAAUGUAUAUAAAUAUAGAAAAUUGUUAUUAGCUGAAACACCCCAACCCCUUUUAUAUUUUAAAAAAUUGUUUUAAAGCCUUAAUUGGUGAGCCCGUGGGGCCCACCUUAUGAUUUUUUUUGGUUUUUCCCCGGUCUCUCUCCUCUUUCAGCUCUCUUUUCUACCUCACUCUCCCGUUUCUCUCUCUCGGACCUCAUCUCUCUCCCUCGCUGCAACUCUUUUCCCCGAUCAACACUCAGCCACGCCAUCUGCUGAGAACUCACCAUCUAAACCUCGUCCCUUUCCUCUUCCUCUUGCAUCUGCGCAACUUGGCGAAACCAAGAAAAUAACCUCCGGCGAGUCUGACGGCUUUCGAGGCCAUUUCCGGCCAAACCACGGCGAGUCGGCCGGCGUGCAAGGUAUCAAUCUCUUCGUCUUGUCGAGUACUAUAAUUUUCCUUUUCGUUUCACUCAAUUUCAUUGCGUAUUGAAGAAGUUAUACUCAUUUGGAUCUUACCCAGUUUCCGGAGACCUCCGAGGCUUUCGAGGCAAUUUCCGGCCAAACCACGGCGAGUUAGACGUCGUGUGAGGUAUCAUUCUCUUCGUCUCUUCUAGGGCUAUAACUUUCGUUUUUGUCUCGCUUGAUUUCGUUGAGUAGUGACAACGUUAUGGCCGUUUAAAGUGGGGUGGUUUUCCGGCCGAAUUUCCGGCCUUCUUCUUCGGCAAACUAGGCCCUUCAGGCCGUUUCUCAACCCACGGGCCUUAAGCCCGUAUUGCAUAAGCCCAAAGCCCUAGCCCAAUCCUUUUAAUUGUUUUUAUUUAUUUGUUAUUGGUUUAGGACCCAAAAGGCCUUCGGGCCAUUAGAUUUAGGGCCCGCAGCCCAUUAGUCCAACCCAAAAACCUUUUGAGGUUUUUAUUUAUUUCCUGUUUUAGAAUUAAGGCCUUGGGCCAAUUUGAAUGGGCUUUCAGCCCUUUCCCAAACCCUUUUAACUUAAGGGCCUUAAGCACUAAACCCUUUAACCUUAGGACCCUAAACCCAAAAAUCCUAGGUUCCUAAAAUCCUUUAAAACCCUAAACCCAUCCAAUCCCAAAUCCCCUAUUUUUAUUUAAACUCUAAACCCUAAUCCGGGUUCAAGCCUAAAACCCGUUUGACCUAGUUUGACCGUUGACCCCCGGUCAACGUUGACUUUAGGGUUGACUUUUCGGGUUUUCGUCCGGGACCCUUCUUAGGGUAAUUCGACGUUCUGGAUCCCUUUCCUGUCCGUUUUCCCAAAUUCAAUUGCUAUUAUAUAGUUUUAUUUAUUGGACUCUUUAUGUGCUUAGGGGGCAAUUAUUGUGACGUUUCCGUCUUCGCUAGUGGCGCAGCUUUUGGCAACUAAGUACUGUGAGUGGACCCCUUCUAAAAUUACAUGAUUUGAUAAUUUAAUUGCAUAAAUGAUUAGCAUGCCUACGGAUUUAUGAUUUGAUUUAUGUGAAGCCUGAUGAUUUAAAUAUAUUGAUUAUCGUCUCGUGUUUUGGUGAGGAAUUAAUUGUUAGCCUAUACUGAGCUAUAUUUCAAUAUAUCGUAUUUUCUAUAAAAACCAUGAACUGGUAGACUAUCUGACAGAUGACGAUAGGAUGCUAGAACAUGUUUUUGAACCCCUCUUUAUAGCGUAGACGAUAUUCGGUAACCUAUGCUAUGAAGUGGUUAUUUAAGAGAGACGUAACUAUUUGUGCGUACCUAGUGGACACUAUGCCGCCUGGGGCGAGGAUCUGGUGUUGGCAUGUAGGCCGGGAGAAAUAAUCCCUAGCGAAAGGCUGAGGGACACGGAGACAGGCAUUGGGCCGGGAGGGAGUUAUCUCUGGCUACGGGCACAGAGACUGAGGUGCAGGCAUUGGGCCGGGAGUUAUAUUUAUUCAGUGAUUUUUCUAGCAGCACACCGCGCUUACGAGACGAUUUACGAGACGUUUACUGUUUUGUUUUUCCGCAAUGUUAUUCCGCGAUAUGGCUUUUUGAGAUACUUUGGCAUGCUAGGAUUUUAUUAAAUCCAUCACUUAUUAUGCUAGUAGUUUUCAUUUAUAUAAACUUUGGGGGUUAGUAUCUUGAUAACUGUUUUAUUAUUAUUGUAUAUAUAAACUUGGUCCACUCACCUUUGUUUUGCGCCCCCAUUCAGGACUUAGAAUCAAGGCACCUAAUCCCGGCGUCAAGACACUUCUGCAGCAGCAUAUUCGGAUCCUCUCGAAUGUAGGACUCACUCCUUUAUUCAUUAAAUUUUAUCCUAAUUCUUCGUAGUGAUUAGGUUUAGUUGUAUGCUCUGAGCACGUUCCUAAACUGUUAAUUCAUUGUAUUUCAAAUUUCUAACCUUUAUUUAUUUCUUAUUCUUAGCUUUUGUAUCAAUUAAUGGCUUUCGUCACCUCCGGGUGUCGGCCAGCACGUGUCGGUCUUGGUAUUCGGGGAAUAUCAGGGUCGGGACGUGUCAUUAGCACUCCAAAAAUCUCAUUUGGCACUCCAAACUUUCUAUAAUUAGAAAGAAAAUUACACUUGUGCGAAUGUAGAAUAAGAUUUUUGGAGCGCUAAUAACAGUUCCCUAAAUAUGUCUUAACAAAUAUUGUACAUGGCAUUGACUUAGACUUUCGCAAAUAGACUUAUAAUUUUUGGUAUCUAAUAAAUAUCUAGAUUGAAAAUAGAUAUUUAUGAAUUUAAUCAUUAAAAUGCAUAAGCUCAAUUAUACAUUCAAGUUAGAUCAAUUCCUGAAGUUUUGGUCAACAAUAAAACUGUUUACCUAUGAGUUCACUUAUAAAACGUGCAAAGACGAUAUACUUUUUAACCACAGUUCUAUGUAUUGUGAAUAUUUGUCCGCAACUUUUGUGGCAUAUAGAGGCUAAAAGAUACUACGAUAUUAAAUCCAUAUAUGGUCGAAAUAUUUAUCAGUUUAAUCAUUAAAAUGCAUAAACUCAAUUACACAUCCAGGUUAGAUCAAUUCCCGAAGUUUUGCUCCACAAUAAAAACUGCUUAGCUAUGAGUUCGCCUAUAAAACAUACAAAGGCAAUAUACUUUUUAGCCACAGUUCAAUGUAAUGUGAAUUGUUGUUUGCAAAUUUUGUAUCUAAUAAAUAUCCACGGUUAAAAAUAUUCAUUGAUCUACCAAAAGUUAUCAUGGACGUACCUAUUUUUCUACCACAUAUAGGAAUAUAGAGGCUAGAAGAUUCUCAUUUAAUUGAAACAUACCAAACUCAUUAAACGCUCUAACCAGAAGCUCAUACCGAUUAUUAAGCUAAUUAGUGCUCUAGAAAUUUAGAGAUGUCAAAUGAUGAAGAAAAGGAAAAGGAAGAGGUUUGGAUGACUACGAAUGAGUAGAUGGGGGUGCAAAAUGACAAUCAUGGGAGAUGGAAGGAUUUUUUAAAGAGAGAGAGAAGGGGAUUUGCUCCAUGGAGAUGAUGGACUGGUUAGCAUUUUAUUUUUUAUUUUUAAGUAGAUUGAGUUAGGUGUAAAAAGAAGUUUGAUUGAGUUGAGUUUUGAUAAGUAAGGGCGGUUUCAAAAAUAAUGUUGGGUGUAAAUAGAUAAUGAUAGAUAAAUCAAAUACAAUGUGGAUACAAAAAGUAAGAUGUGUGUUGAGAUACAAAAUAUGGGUUCAAAUAAAAUUUCCCAAACUCUCUCACGGUCAAGUUAGUGAAUGAUUUUGGACUUAAGCAGUGGACAAGAGAAUUCAAGUGUUUAGAUUGUGUUAUCGGAGAUGAACCCUAUAUGGGUGUAUUUAUAUAGAGAGACAUUUUUAGGAUUGAAAAUAUCUAGGAAUAGAUCUUGCAUUGUGAUUACUUGCCGCACUCGCUAGUCCCUAGAUUGUUGGAAAUUCAAGACUUAAAGAUCUAAUGGUGUCCAUAUCUGGAUCAAAGCAUGGUUAUCUAGCGGAGUCGUAAAGACUCCGAUUGGUGCCCUGGAAUCGGAUAAUGGUGGCAUCACUAUCCAUCUGAUACAACUCCGUCCGCAACUGAUGAAUCCAUAACCGGACUUCUGAAGUAACUGUAUUCAGAUCAGCUUCAUUCUAAAAAAUCAUCGUCCACAAUUAUCUCUAACCAUUCAUUUGAAAGGCAAUCUGAUGCCCUUGAUGAUGGAUUGUUAUCCAAAGGCCAUUUGUUUUGCUCGACUGCGUUCACAUCAUUUGUUAGGCUGUCAGCCAUUAAAGCUUCUGACCCAAUGUAGCUUUUCGACAAAGACCCAAAAUUUCCAAAUGAGCUCUGAAUAUUUCAAUUCUGGAGCUUUAGUGUUCUGGGCUUCUUCUGCAACGGGGUCUUGCAAAGAAACAUGGUGUAUUUGCAUAGAGGUUCGUGACUGAAAUUGCAGUGAAGGAAAACUGAGUCUGUGGGUGUUAAUUGCAGAGCUUUUAAGUUGGAAAUUAGUCGGGGAAAAAGAAGGGGAGAGCGGGAGGGAGUUUGGGGGUUGUGGAAGAGAGAAGAUGGUGGAGCACAUGUGGUAAGCCAUUUCCCUCUCUGAAAUUGGGUUGACUCACUUUUGCCUUUAUAUUCAUAAUGUAUAGAUCGGAGUGUUCGUCAACUCGGGCCACAACCAACUAGAUGACCAACUGGACCGGAGUUGCUUGCAGCAGAAUUGGUGGGACUCGACGAGUUGUUUCUCUUGAUCUUUCCGAAUUUAGACUCACUGGCUCUAUAUGUUGGUAUAUGGUCCAGCCCAUGAUCAAUGUUCUAGAUUAUUCUAGUAAGCAAGAGAUGAGGCUGGAGCUUGCUAGACAAUUCUAGCAUGUUAUUAAGUUGAUGGAAGAAGCUAGAGAGUACUAGCUUCCUUGGUUGCAAAUGGAAAGAUCUAGAAGCUACAAGUAUGUGGCUAGUCUAGAUUUUUCUAUACUAGAGGUUUGAAGAAGGAACUAGAAACUAGUAGAAUGCCAAGCCCUCACCUAUAAAUAUGGGUGUGAUGUAACCAAUAGAGAACUAAGAGUGAGUAGCAAAGGAUCAAGUCCAAAGCUAGAGUUCCACUCCAAGAGUGAGAGUGAGAGUGUUCCACUACACAUUGUGUGAGUGAAGUUUAGAGUGAUAGAAAGUGUGUGUUAUACUUUCUUGUAUCCAUCAAGCCUUGUCUUUGGCUUGGUAAGACUACUCUUAUUGUAUUCAUCUUUUUCAUAUAGUGAAGAUUCCUUGUUUGGUGGACGUAGGCAUAAAUUGCCGAACCACAUAAAUUGUUGGCGUCCAUUUUCUACUUUACCUUGUGCAUUCUCUAUCUUGUAGUACCGACAUUCCUAACAAGUGGUAUCAGAGCCCGGUUGGCUCGUACUGCGAGAUGGAAGGAAGUGGCACUAUGAUCAAACUCACCAACUCCAAUUGGGUAACAUGGAAGCCAAGGAUGGAGGACAUUCUCUAUUGCAAGGAUCUGCAUGAGCCAAUUGAAGGAGAUGCCGCUAAGCCAGAGAGCAUGUCCGAUGCCGAGUGGAAGAAGAUGAAUCGCAAGGCUAUUGGCACAAUUAGACAAUGGGUGGACGAUAGUGUUUUUCACCAUGUGUCUAAUGAAACCAAUGCUCGCGAGUUUUGGACAAAGCUUGAGUCCUUGUUCGAGAAGAAGACUCCAGCUAAGAAAGCCUUCUUGAUCAAAGAGCUCAUCAAUGUGAAGUACAAUGAUGGUUUAAGUGUAGCAGAACACUUGAACAAUUUCCAGAAUAUCAUCAACCAGUUGGCUACUAUGAAAAUGACAAGCGCUCUUGUUACUUGGAUCCUUGCCAGACAGUUGGGAGACCUUUGUGGUGAGUAUAAGUAACUCUGCUUCUAAUGGUGUUCUUACCCUUGAUAAUGUUAAAAAUAGCAUGCUCAAUGAAGAAACAAGGAGAAAGACUUCUGGCACAGAUAGCAGCCAAGUAUUUGUCACAGAGAACCGCGGAAGAAGCAAGAGUAGAGGGCCUAGAGGUCAUGGCAGGAGUCCUAGCCGAUCCAAGUCAAGGUUCAGGGGUGCAUGCCACCACUGUGGCAAGGAAGGCCAUAUGAAGAAAAAUUGUCGAGUUUGGAAGAGAGAGCAAAGGGAAGGAAACAAUCAGAAGAAAGAUGAUACUGGCAAUACCACUGCUGUCAUAUGUGGUGAUGUACCAGAAAUAUUGUCUGUUGGUGAAUGUCUGCAUAUGGGCAACUCUGACAGAGACAUUGAAUGGAUCUUUGACAAUGGAGCUUCCUUUCAUGCUACGUCCAAACGGGAGUUCUUCAGUACAUACAAAGAAGGUGACUUUGGCAUAGUGAAGAUGGGGAAUGAAAGCUAUUCCAAAAUUCUUGGAAUUGGUGAUAUAUGUCUAAGAACUAAUCUCGGCUGCCAAUUGAUGUUGAAAGAUGUGAGACAUAUUCCUGAUAUACGUCUCAAUCUGAUAUCCAUCGGUACCCUUGAUCGACAAGGAUAUUAUCACCAUAUUGGCGAAGGAAAAUUGAAGCUUACCAAAGGCUUAAUGGUGGUAGCAAGAGCACGACUUUGUUGUACGUUGUACCGGUCAAAUGCCAAGGUUUUGAAAGGUGAGUUGAAUGCUGUGGAGGACUCAUCUCUAGACUUAUGGCAUAAGAGGCUAGGCCACAUAAGCGAGAAAGGCCUACAAGUUUUGGCAAAGAAGUCUCACAUUCCCUUUACCAAAGGAACGUCGUUAAACUCUUGUGAGCAUUGUUUAUUCGGAAAACAAAGAAGAGUUAGUUUUUCUGUUCCAUCUACAAAGAAAGGAAACUUGUUAGAUCUUGUUUAUUCAGAUGUGUGUGGUCCCAUGGAAGUCGAGUCACUUGGAAGAAAUAAAUAUUUUGUUACUUAUAUUGAUGAUGCUUCACGAAGGGUGUGGGUGUAUUUGUUGAAAACCAAAGACCAGGUGUUUCAGACAUUCCAGGAGUUCCAUGCCAUGGUGGAGAGGGAAACUGGGAAACCUCUCAAGUGCCUUCGUAGCGACAACGGCGGCGAGUACACAUCUCACCAGUUUAGAGAGUAUUGUGUAAAACAUGGCAUACGUCAUGAGAAGACAGUUCCUGGAACUCCACAACAUAACGGUGUUGCUGAAAGAAUGAACCGAACCAUCAUGGAGAAAGUCAGGUGUAUGUUGAGGACUGCAAAGUUAUCUAAGCAGUUCUGGGGUGAAGCUGUAAGGAUAGCCUGCUAUUUGAUCAACCGAUCUCCAUCAGUGCCAUUAGGUCUUGAUGUUCCAGAGAGAGUAUGGACUGGUAAUGAUGUGUCUUACUCUCAUCUGAAGGUGUUUGGUUGCAAAGCUUUUGUGCAUGUGCCCAAAGAGCAGAGAUCGAAGUUAGACUACAAAGCUACACCGUGCAUCUUUCUUGGUUAUGGCGGUGAAGAUUUUGGUUACAGAUUAUGGGACCCAUACCAGAAGAAGUUUAUCCGAAGUAGAGACGUGGUCUUUUAUGAAGAACAAACAAUUGGGGAUUCGGAUAAAGAGGCACAACCAGAUGGCGCAGUCAGAGGAGUUGAUCCAUUAGCUUCAGAUGAAGAAAGUCACGAUGACAUCCCUGAAGCAACUGCCAAUGAAGUGCCUGCAGAACCAGAUAAUGCUGAUCAGGGGGAGCCUGAUCAAGAUGUGCCAGACCAUGAGAUUGCUGAUCAGGUGGAGCCUAGUCAAGAAGAGCAGAUUCAAGGAAAACCCAAUCAGGGGGAGCCUUCAGCCCUACAAGAGAAUGAAGAUCAGGUCAGAAGAUCCAUCAGAAAUCGAAGACCGUCUACCAAGUAUUCUUCAUCAGAGUAUAUCAUGUUGACUAAUUAUGGAGAGCCUGAAACAUAUGAGGAGGCCAGAGCUCAUAACGACAGUGACAAAUGGAUGAAGGCAAUGGAGUCGGAGAUGGAUUCCUUAUCAAAGAAUGAUACCUAUGAGCUGGUGGAGCUUCCAAAGGGCAGGAAAGCAUUGAAAAACAAGUGGGUGUUCAAAUUGAAAAGAGACGACAACAUGACAAGGUACAAGGCUCGUUUGGUUGUCAAAGGUUUUGGUCAAAAGAAAGGAGUUGACUUCGAUGAGAUUUUCUCACCGGUGGUGAAGAUGACUUCCAUUUGAGUUAUCCUUGGUAUGGCAGCAAGUAUGGAUCUUGAGCUCGAGCAGUUAGAUGUUAAAACUGCAUUUCUCCACGGAAAUUUAGAAGAGGAGAUAUACAUGGAGCAACCCAAAGGCUUUGAAGUCAAAGGUAAAGAAAAUUUGGUGUGCAAGCUCAAGAAAAGCUUAUAUGGUCUUAAGCAGGCUCCGAGACAGUGGAAUAAGAAGUUCAACUCAUUCAUGGUGAGUAAUGGGUACAAGAGAACUCAUGCUGACUCUUGUGUCUAUAUCAAACAAUUUUCUGGAGGUAAAUUCAUCAUCUUAUUGCUUUAUGUUGAUGACAUGUUGAUUGUCGGACAAGAUACCUCUAUGAUUAAAAAGCUCAAAGAAGAGUUAUCUAAGUCCUUUGACAUGAAGGACUUAGGGCCAGCCAAGCAGAUUUUGGGCAUGGAUAUAAUUCGUGACAGAAAAUCCAAAAAGUUGUGGUUGUCACAAGAAAAGUAUGUUGAACGGGUGCUUGAAAGGUUCAACAUGAAAGCAGCCAAAUCGGUAAGCUCACCUUUAGCCAAUCAUAUCAAGUUGAGCAAAGAGUCGUGUCCAAAAACAUAUGAAGAAAAGGAGAAAAUGGCAGUUGUUCCAUACUCUUCAACAGUAGGAAGUAUCAUGUAUGCAAUGGUGUGCACACGGCCAGAUAUUGCUCAUGCAGUAGGUGUGGUGAGCAGGUUUCUCUCUAAUCCAGGGAAUGACCACUGGGAAGCUGUUAAGUGGAUUCUCAGAUAUUUGAAGGGGACUUCUAAGAUGUGCUUGUGCUUUGGCGGUUCCAAACCAAUCUUGGAAGGAUUUACAGAUGCUGACAUGGGAGGUGACCUGGAUGGUAGAAAAUCUACAUCUGGGUACUUGUUCACUUUUGCCGGGGGAGCCGUGUCUUGGCAAUCCAAGUUGCAAAAGUGUGUUGCUUUGUCCACAACCGAGGUUGAAUACAUAGCCGCUACAGAAGCAUGCAAGGAGUUGUUGUGGCUGAAGCAGUUUCUCCAAGAGUUGGGUUUGAAGCAAAGUGAUUACGGCAUUUAUUGUGAUAGUCAGAGUGCUCUGGACUUGAGCAAGAACACUACAUAUCAUUCACGCACUAAGCACAUUGAUAUUCGUUAUCACUGGAUUAGAGACGCUAUCGAGAACAAGUUGCUGCAGCUGAAGAAGAUUCAUACUGAUAAUAAUUCUUCAGACAUGUUGACAAAAGUAGUCACAAAAUCAAAGUUGGAAUUCUGCAUUAAAGCUGCUGGGAUGAACUCCAGGUAACUUGGAGUCAUGAUCGGAAUUCCUCCCUCAUGGACUGGAGGGGGAGAUUGUUGGUAUAUGGUUCAGCCCAUGAUCAAUGUUCUAGAUUAUUCUAGUAAGCAAGAGAUGAGGCUGGAGCUUGCUAGACAAUUCUAGCAUGUUAUUAAGUUGAUGGAAGAAGCUAGAGAGUACUAGCUUCCUUGGUUGCAAAUGGAAAGAUCUAGAAGCUACAAGUAUGUGGCUAGUCUAGAUUUUUCUAUACUAGAGGUUUGAAGAAGGAACUAGAAACUAGUAGAAUGCCAAGCCCUCACCUAUAAAUAUGGGUGUGAUGUAACCAAUAGAGAACUAAGAGUGAGUAGCAAAUGAUCAAGUCCAAAGCUAGAGUUCCACUCCAAGAGUGAGAGUGAGAGUGUUCCACUACACAUUGUGUGAGUGAAGUUUAGAGUGAUAGAAAGUGUGUGUUAUACUUUCUUGUAUCCAUCAAGCCUUGUCUUUGGCUUGGUAAGACUACUCUUAUUGUAUUCAUCUUUUUCAUAUAGUGAAGAUUCCUUGUUUGGUGGACGUAGGCAUAAAUUGCCGAACCACAUAAAUUGUUGGCGUCCAUUUUCUACUUUACCUUGUGCAUUCUCUAUCUUGUAGUACCGACAUUCCUAACACUAUAAGCCACCAUGUUGGUGGCUUGACAAUUCGAUGAUGAUGAUGAGCGGUGGAGACGGAGGACUAGAAACUUCGAUGAUGAUGAGUAUAUUUAGAGAUAGGGAUUUUACUUGGAAAAGGGAAGGGCAGAGAACGAAGAAUCAUGAACUUUAGUAUAAAUGGUAUUAUAGUAUUUUUAUGUGAAAUUUUUGUAAGCCCCCUCUCAAAAACUCGACCUCUGAUGUCCAUCGGACGUCAGACGACGGCUGGGCAUGGCUGCACCUUUUACGGCCUUCCGAGGGCUUUCUAACAGUUUUGGCUUUUUUCUUUCAUUUUUGGAUUUCGUCGCAGGUAUAAACUUUCAUCUCUUGUCGAUAUCUUGCUACCUGUGAAGUUUGGUUUUUGACGAAAAACUGAGUUUCUGCUUACUGGAAACCAUCGCGCAUGGCGGCACAUGUGGUGGUGUAUGGGCAACUCUAGUGACAUGGAUUUUGGAUAGAUGUUCUUGAUGCCCCAAAGCCUAUAUCCAAGGGCCGUUUGUUGAGAUUCGAAGCGAUAGUUAAUUAUUCAAUUUUUGAAUUAAUUGUAUCGUCGUUCAAUUUUCACAAUUGACAUCGUUGGAUCGUCGUGCAAUUUUACGAGUAUGCUAUUUAUUGAUUGUCGAUCCUUUGUUAACUUGUGGAAUGGAAAUCCAACGUUUGGAUCUUUCAUACUGAAGAAUCUAGUGUAGAAUUUCACGCUGAAACUCAAAACUCAAAACUCGCUUCAUAUUGCCUUGUUUCCCUAAAUUUAUUAAACAUCCAUUAAAUUUGCUUAUGUGGCUUUAAAUUCUAUGAAAUCAAUGGAAUUUUAUAUUUUUAUUGGAUUAAUAUUUUGGUUUGUCGUUACUGUUUGAUUUGAUUAAUAAUUUGGCCCCAUUUUCAUAAAAUUAGUUUUGUUUUACAUCUACAUUUUUUUAAUCCACAUCAGCAUAUAUGACAGUUUUUUAACGAAAUUGGCAAAAACAAAGCAAUCUGGAGCAAAUUUUGAGUUUCACGGACUAGGUGGAAUCUACUAUAUAAAUCAUAUAACACAACUAUGCUCAAUUUUACAUCAAGUUUUUUUUUAACUCCAAGUACUCCAUAUAUUUUCUUAAAUUAUCCAUAAGAAUUAUAUACUACAUUAACUAAAAACUGACCACUAUAGUAAUAUUAUUAUCCUAAGAUAGCUAGUAAAUUUAUUUAUUCACUUAAAUUAUAAUUCGGUUGAUGCACGCUAUAUAAAAUUGAGAGCUUUAAUGAAAAUGGCUUGAGUGAAGUUUAAUUUAAUCAAAAAUCAUCUUAUAUUAUUAUUUAACCAAAAAUACUUUAGAUUUAAUCAUAAGGACACAACUAAUCUAUAUGAAAUCCCACAAACAUUAAAACUACAUGGGCUGAAUUAAAAGCCCAAAACAGAAUAUUUUCAGCGCUUGCCCCUAACAGAAACCCAUUCCGUCAGCCGAUCCCGUUAAAAAAACUAUACAACAUUUCAAGCGAACAACAAAAGGCAAAUAUUUCAGUUAAUUAAAUCCCACCCCGCUCUAAACACCUCACUCGCCAUCGCGGUCUCCCACCUCGCUCGAUUUGCCGUGAUUUGCCGAGAGAAACAAUCCCCUGAAUCUCACAGUCGAUCUCGUCUGCUUGUUCCAGGUUCGAUCAGAUCUUUGUCUCUUUGCUACAGACUUUAUUAUUUAUUUAAUUAAAUCCCGUGUCAUUCUAUUUGUUAGAUGGUAGUUUCCAAAAAGUUUUUGAAAAUUUUAUGGUUUUUUUUGUUUGUUCAUUUAUGGAUGAAUUGAUGGACUGGGUUGUGGUUUAUAUUUAUAUUUGUGAUUAGAUAUGGAUUUCUUUAUGAACUGCAUAUGGGUUUAUUCUGUUGAUUUGAGCUCCGAAGGACUGAAAAUCCCAGAAAGAUUCAUGAGACACAUGGAAGGCAGAACAUCGGGGUUAGUUUCGUUGUUCGACCUUAGCGGCAGUGCGUGGAGCGUUGAAUUGAUUCAAUAGAAUGUUGGUUUGUUCUUGCAUCAUGGGUGGUCGGCAUUUGUGAGAGACCAUUACGCAUUUGAUGAGGCCUGGUGCGGAUGUUGUUUUAUUUAAGGUAAAGGCAUCGAUCCAAAAUAUGUGUGGAAAAAGAGAUGGAUUCAAUGUUAACAGUAGAACUUGUUUGCAGAUGUCAUCAACACAUGAAGUAGCUCCAUCGUUUAGUCCUCUAAGUUCUAUUCCGCUUGUUACUCGUCCAGCCUUUCUCUUUGAUUGUACUCAAACGGAUUGCCCCAGGGGGGUUUUUCUUUUUAAUAUAGUUUUUUAUUUUCUAUCCAAAAAAAAAAACAGCCUAAAUUUUAAUGAAAAUGAACACCAACUAUCACUAUUUCUUAAAGUGGGCACUGAUUAUUUCUUAAACUGAACACUGGUACUAUCAUUAUUUUUUAAACAGAACACGAACUAUUUCUAGAAUUGAACAUUGACUAUUUCUUAAACUGAACACUGCUACUAUCAUUAUUUUGUAAACUGACCACUAACUAUUUCUAGAACUAAACACGAUACUAUCACUAUUUCUUAAAGUUAGCACUAACUAUUUCUUAAAUUGAACACUGCUACUAUCACUAUUUUGUAAACUGAACACUGGUACUAUCAUUAUUUCUUAAACAUAACACACACUAUUUUUAAAAUUGAACAUUGAGUAUUUCUUAAACUGAACACUGGUACUAUCAUUAUUUCGUAAAUUGACCACUAACUAUUUCUAGAACUAAACACGAUACUAUCACUAUUUCUUAAAGUGAGCAUUGCCUAUUUCUUAAACUGAACAUUGGUACUAUCAUUAUUUCGUAGACUGACCACUAACUAUUUCUAGAACUAAACACGAUACUAUUACUAUUUCUUAAAGUGAGCACUAACUAUUUCUUAAACUGAACAUAGACUAUUUCUAGAAUUGAACAUUGACUAUUUCUUAAACUGAACACUGGUACUAUCACUAUUUCAUAAACUAACCACUAACUAUUUCUAGAACUAAACACGAUAAUAUCACUAUUUCUUAAAGUAAGCACUGACUAUUUCUUAAACUGAAUACUGGUACUAUCACUAUUUCGUAAACUGAACACUGAUUGUUUCUAGAACCAAACACGGGUAUUAUCACUAUUUCUUAAACUGAACACUAACUACUUCUUAAACUGAACAGAGUGCAAAGUGAGCAUCUUUUGUAAUUGGUUGGGUCCCCAUCCCUUCUCCCUCACCAUCCUAUUAUAGGAAAUGAUUGUAGAGUGCAAAGUGACAUAUAAAUAAUUAUGAUUCAAUUUUAGAGGAGCUACAAAGCCACACCAAACAACUUUUCUUACAACAAAAUGGUAUGACUGAUAACUCAAAUUUUUUUACCUUCACUCAGCAACAUCCUGCAAGUGCAGGAAAACCAAAAGUAUAUUGAAAGAUAAAAAUCUUCAUAUGUGCAAAUAAAUCAAGUGAAUAAUCAUUAAUCACAAAUGCUGAGAAAUGAAAAUAUAUAUACCCGCAACAUGAUUUCUAGCUUUCUCUAAUUUAUCAAGAGCAGCAUUUCUUGGCUUUCCAUGCUCAUCUUGGCUCUCAGUGCCGUCUUGGCUUUUCCUUUUCAGUAUCCCGUUCCUCGUCCUUAGAAGAUUCUUCUGAGUCCUCAGCAACUUGCAUGUCGACAAGGCUUUUUGCUACCGUCUGAGCAACCACAGCUGCCUACAUCCAAAAAUCGCCACUUCACAAACUAAACCACAAAAUGCAGCAAACCUACACUCUUCUAUUUGGACUAAAAACAUAAAUCUUUGCAUAGUUUAUAAUUAAACUGCCACAAGCAAACAAAAACAUAUACAUGCAUGUAAUCAGAUUACGGCACCAAACUCUUAAUAACUUAAACCUACUUUGAGAUUCGCAAUCUAAAACAGUUAAUUAACUCUGCAAUUAUCAAACACCACCAAAAACACUAAUCAACAUUUCCCAAACUUAUAAACUCUAAUUCCCAAAAUACACCAAAUCAAGUUGCAUAUUCAAAUACAUUUAUCAAACGCUGGAGAUUUGAGAAGACGGACGAAAAGCCCCAACCUCCCUAUCCUUCGCUUCUUUCCGAAGCGAGAUCUGCGUAUAUUGUUCACAUGCAUCAGGAUUUCAAUUGCAUUUUCCAGAGUUGUUGGGGUUGUCGAUACGUGUGUUGGAAUUGUGAUGAAAUUAACGAAAGGCUCUAAAUCUAUAAACCUUCUCUCUCUCUCUCUCCAUCUGAAGCGAAACGAACCAACGGACAAGACUUAACGUCAAGGGUAAAAUCGAAAGCUCGAUAUAUUAUAUUUUUUGGGCUGGCUUGAUAUUGGAUUUUGUACUAACCAUUAAAUAAAGUUCUUACAUGAUUUUUGAUUAAAAUUCAAAGUAUUGAAGACAUUUUCAUUAGUUUUCCUUAAGUUAUUUUGAUUCACUUUCAGAAAUAGUGUUGGUUAUUUUGUUGUGGUUUUAGAUAUAAUGUUUAUUUUGUUACCUUUUAGAAAUAGUGUGGGUUAUUUUAGUCUAAUUUUAGAAAUAAUGUGAGUUAUUUUGUUGUAGUUCUAGAAAUAGUGUGAGUUAUUUUCGUUUAGUUUCAGAAAUAGUAUGAGUUAUUUGUUGUAGUUUCAGCAAUAAUGUGGAUUAUUUUGGGCCAGUUUAAAAAAUUGUGUGAUUAUUUUGGUGUAGUUCCAAAAAUAGUGUGAAUUAUUUUGGUUCAAUUUUAGAAAUACUGUGAUUAUUUGACUGUAGUUUCAAAAAUAGUGUGAAUUAUUUUUGUUCAGUUUCAGAAAUAGUGUGGUUAUUUUGUUGUAGUUCCAGAAAUAGUAUGAGUUAUUUUGGUUUACUUCCAGAAAUAGUGUUAGUUAUUUUACUGUAGUUUAAAAAAUAAUGUUUAUUUUGUCCCCUUCCAAAAAUAAUGUGCGUUAUUUUGGUUCAGUUUCAGAAAGAGUAUGAGUUAUUUUGCUAUAAUUCAAGAAAUAGUGUGGGUACUAUACUAUUUAUGAAACUGAACACGGGUACUAUACUAUUUAUGAAACUGAACACGGGUACUAUACUAUUUAUGAAACUGAACACAAAUACUACACCAUUUAUGAAACUGAACACAUUAUUACACUAUUUAUGAAACUGAACACAGAUACUACACUAUUUAUGAAACAAAACAUUGGUAAUAUCACUAUUUCUUAAAUCGAACACUGACUAUUUCGGAACUGAACAUGGGCACCAUACUAUUUCUGAAACUGAACAUUGGUGUUACACUAUUUAUGAAAAUGAAUGCUGGUACUAUCACUAUUUCUUAAACUGAACGCUAACUUCUAAAACUGAAUAUGAAUACUAUGCUAUUUCCAAAACUAACAAAGACAUGAUCAGACACCUAGCUAGGAUUCGAAUACAAUUUUCCACAUACUUCCAAGAUGGCUUGGAUAGACUCUAUAUAUAAUUAAUUGCUAAUUAUAAUAGCAUCAGCAAAACCUUGUUUAUAAGUUGUCAUAGCACUCACCAAAAUAAACUCGUACUUUUCAACUUGUCUUUCUCAAAAGACUAAAUGAUAAUUAGUUUCAAAUGUGGACCAUCUCCAUAUGGCUUUUGGUUAAAAAGAUGUGGUUUAUGAUAAGUAGAAAGCUAGCUUUCUCUAUUGGCAGCCUCUUUACAAUUUCAUAUUUGUAUUUUAUAAUAAUAAAAAGAUGUGCUUCCCCUCUUGAUAAUUGGGCUCAUCUUUAACUUCAAGAUCAACCAAGUUUGCUUCCAUAUCGUAGACCUCCUUGCGAAUGAUGGUGCCAUUCUUGUAGUUGGAAUUGUUGGUGUAGCGGAGCUACGUCGUCGGGUCGAAACUCGAACUCUAGGAACUCGUGGCCGAACUUGCCCUUGUGGCCGACGUAGUACCUCAGGUAGAACUCGUUGGUCUCUUCCUCUCCGGCUAUCUCCGUCUCUCUCGCUUGCUUUUUUCUCUCUUCCUUCAUCCUCAAAGGCUCCUAAUAUGGUGAUUCGAAAAAAUGGUGGAAUUCGAAUGGAAUGGAAAAUGAAAACAGAGAUGUGGAGAGAUCGAGAGAGAGGUAGAGAGAUCAAUUCGAUUACAAAAAUGGAGGAAUUGUUUAUGUGCAGAGGAGAGAUCAAGAUUAGGCAGAGAGAUUGAGAAGGGAGAUCGAGAAAUAGGGAUUACGUGGAAAGACUGAGAAAUGGAGAGAGGAUCAACGGGAAAUGAUUUGCUGUUAAGGGUAAAACUGGAAACUUAUUUCUUGGGCUAAUCUUACUGGGCUGGUUUGAUGUUGGGCUUUGUCCUAACCAUUAAAUAAAUUUAUUAUCUGGUUUUUUAUUAAGAUUCAAAAUUUUAAAGCUCUUUUCAUUAAUUUUCCUUAUAAAAUUAUCUCUAACUUUUUCUGCAGGGGCAAAUUGACGCCAAAAGAAAAAUAUUGAAGCAGCAUGUAGAUGCCCCCUCAAUUAAAAACUUCUUGUGGCUGUCAUCUGCAGCUUUAGCUAUCAAAUAAUCAAAGACAUCGUGCAAUAUUUGCAGAACUCUGAGAUUAUUGCUCUAAUAUUUGUACACAUGUAACACAAAUGUCUUGUGAAAAGAUAGAGAAAUUUGCAGAGAUAAUACCUGAAGAGACCUAUAUGUAUAUAUUUUUCUGCUCGUAUCUUUUCCUUCCAAUCUAGAACUACGAAUGUUUACAGACAGGUCAGUAUUUAGGAGCAUGCCUUUGAGGUAUCGACAUGAAGAUAGAGUAAAUUGUGCCUACUGGUUUGAUAUUAUGUGUUUGUUUUGUUGAGCAGUUGUUGAUGGGGAUAUAAAAAGACCACAGGAUGAAGACAUACAAUCCAAUGUUCUUGAAAUAGUUGGGUCGAACAUCCAGUCCACAUGCAUUACUUGCCCAACGGACCCAUCAGCUACACUGAGUAUAAAACUUCCGUUCCUGGUUAUGAUUGUAAAGAAUCUGAAGAAAUAUUGCACAUUUGAGAUUCAAAUUCUGGAUGACAAGAAUGUCAGGCGACGUUUUCGAGCUUCCAAUUUUCAAGUGUGCAAGUUUGCCCGUGUUUAUUGAUGUUUAUCAACUGCCUAAUGGGUUGAUCUUGUUGUUCUCUGUUUUCUUCUUUUCUUUUCUAUUUGGUAUUUCAGUUCAGGGAAUAUUCUGGUACACGAUAAUGCUUCUUAUGUUUUUGUAUAAAAGAUAUGUAUGUGUGUGUGUGUGUGUGUGUGUGUGUGUAUUUCGCAUACAAGUCUAACCGUUUAUGUUUGUCUUUUGAGAUUCAUUUGGCAUAAAAUUGGUCCUGUUGCAUUCUUACUUCUUUGUUAAUAUUAUUCAUGACUGAAAAUGGUAGGUAAAGUUUUGGACUAGUACCAGUAGGAGUUCUGGUGAACGUUUACUGAAUAGGCACAAUUUCAGAUAAAACUAAAAGUGCAGGAUCUUUUUCUUUUAGGACAAUCUGUGAACAUUUCAACAAAUAUUCAUGGAAGGUAUGUGCACAGUUAAUGUAGUGAAAGACGACGGAGCUUUACCUUCAGAUCGAUACGUUCUCCCACUUUAUUUAUUUCCACAUCAAAUUGUGAAAAUCUUGUUUCUUCUCAUCCGUUUCGAGAAGAUGCCAACACAAGUGCUUUCCUUUUUCAUACCCCAGCUCAACAUACACGAAUACUCCUAAAUUCAAAUAUGGUGAAAUUAUAAACAAUUGAUUGAUCUUAUAAAACAUGCAUGAGGAAACAAUUCUGUUUAUUUAUUUAGUGAUCUUAUAAACGAUUGAUCGAUCUUAGACAAGUUGUUUAUUUAUCAACUUUUCAUAAACUGAAGAAACAAAAGUGAAAUGGAACCCAAUUUUUGUUAUCUGCAGUGUUCAAUAAAAGAAAUAUCGUUCCUGUGAAAUGUGUAGUGCAGCAACCACCCACCUGUUCUAGUAACAUAAUGUACUGACUUCCAACAAACGCAAGCAUGAGGGCAGUGCUGCAAAGAAACCUGUCUCUCCUUUUUUUUUUCUUUUUUUUUUCUUUUUUUUUUUGUGGUCAUCAUCACCUGUUCUCACUUCAACAGCUGUGUAUGUACAAAAAGAACAUAUCUGCACCCACUCGAAGAUGGCAGCAACAUGAAGAGAAGAUGAAAAGGCAUGUUGCUUGUAUUGAAAAUAAAGCAGUAUAAGAGUAGAACAUCAUUCCAGGGGUUACCUAUCCAAUUGGAGGAGAACCGUAUUGAUACCACACUGCAAGGAGAACCAUUCAUGGACAACUAAUUGAUGGACACUAAAAUCGUUGGCUUUAGAUAAUCCAAUAUUUACAGUUCCACAGUUUGCUAUCCAUAUCAGCAAAGCUGAGAAACAGGGUAGUUUUAACAUCUCAAAUGUUAAAACAUGAAAAGCAUUUCAACCAAAUGGAAAAACAUCUCAAAUGUUGAGCCUUAACAAUAGUUUUAACAUCAAUUAUAGAAAGCGAGAAGCGUAAUUGAAAGGAUGAAGAUGUUAGAAAUGGGAAUUUACCUUCCGGUAUCAUGGCCAUAGCAUUGACAACCUCUGUGGGAGCGUCAGCAGCCUCACUUCUGAGUACUGAAACAAUGGAGUCCGACUCUGAAAUCGGGACAGCAUUACCACUCCCUGUUGGCACCAAAAGAUGCUUGCCUCAAAGAUUGCCAUAUGACCUUAUUCUUUGGUAAAGCAAACCUUUCACGUUGGAGUCGAUGGACAGAUCUUUUAUUUUGCUCCUCAAUCCAUUGGCGUCCUGGACGAAAGACCGAAAAGAUCUCGUCACUCAUAACGCAGUAAACAGGACAAUUACAAAGUUAUAAUUUGCAUAUUAUGUAUCUUCUAUUUACUUUAGUGUUAAGAACCUCAUCACAAAGGAAAUUCAAAAGCCUAAGCUUUUGGGAGAAGCUUAAGGCAUCAUAUCCAUCCCCGCCUCCACUAAAACACUCUACGGGCAACACUGCGGCAGCUCCUUCAUAACGGGGUCGACCUUAGAGAGUUCACCAAAUCUUGGAACCAUGAGCAGUUGGUGCUUGCUUGCUCUAGAGACAUAACUGAAAAUAAAGUUGGCAUAAACCACAUGUAUUAUUUUCACAAUUAAAGCUUACUAAAAGUACUUUACACAUAACUAUAAUACACUAGGUAGAGUUCUUUCUCCUGUAUGAAGAAAAACAUAUAGCUAUGAAAUCGAACAAUGGAAAACUGAUCAGGCCGUCCACUUCGUCCACGCGAGAGUUCUCAAAGAACAGGUUCAGCUUGGGACUUUUCAAUUUAAAAAAAAAAAUAGAGUAAAAAGAAACAAGAAAAGAAAAUGGGAUUUCAAGUGACUUGGAAGUCCAGGAAUGUUUUAGCACCCCAAAAAAGGGUGAACAAAAUCAAUUAAAAGAAGUUUAGAGCAACAUUUCAAUCAAAUAUAUAAUAGAACAACAGUAAGAAUUACCCCUCUAAAUGUUUCACAGAACUUACAAAAAUUGGAGAUCAUUCCCCACAUCCUCAGCAGCUAAUGGUGCCCUGAGGUAGGGGAAGAUCUAGAUCAACCCCUCUGCUAUCAAUCCGGCGUUCUUUGACCCUGCGACACGCUCCUGCAGCCUUGCCCUUGCCCUUGGCAUCAUUCUGAUUCACAGCACCACCAUCAUCUCUGCUGCUUUACAAGUUUCCAUCAACUCGUCCUGCUUUGCUGCAUCCGAGUACUUUACAUCUUUGCUCAGAAGAGAAUGCUCUUUUGGAAUAAUUGUGUAUUCUAUUCAUCUCUCAAGGAGGGGUUUAUAUGAUGUUACAAUUCUAUCAACAAGGAAAGAAAUAAUUUACAUAAAAUCAUAUUAAACUAAGAAUCCCAAGAUUACAGGAAUAUACACAAAAAGUCAACAUUCCCCCUCCAGUUGGUGCAUAUAUGUCACACAUGCCCAACUUAUGUAGGAAACUUGAAAACUUAUGACUUGAAACAGCCUUUGUGAGGAUAUCUGCCAACUGAUCUUCCGUUCUUAUCGCUGGUUCCUCAAUUAUCUUCCUUUCCAAUUUCUCUUUGAUGAAGAACCGGUCAACUUCAACAUGCUUUGUUCUAUCAUGCUGUACUGGAUUAUGUGCAAUAUCACAUGCAACUUUAUUAUCACAAAAUAAUUUCAUAGGUUGAUCAUGUUUUAUACCCAAAUCCCUUAGCAUAAGCUUAAGCCAUAAAAUUUCACAAAGCCCUAAGGUCAUACCUCUGUAUUCAGCUUCUGCACUAGACCGGGCAACCACAUUUUGUUUCUUACUCCUCCAAGUAACCAAGUUACCCCCAACGAAUGUAAAGUAACCUGAUGUUGAGCGCCUGUCAUCCACUGAUCCUGCCCAAUCUGCAUCAGUAUAACCUUCAACUCUAAGAUGAUUAUUCCUUUUAAACAAAAUUCUUUUGCCUGUGCUUCCCUUCAAAUAUCUUAAAAUCCUCAUCGCUGCAUUCAUAUGGUGUUCUCCAGGAUCAUGCAUGUAUUAACUCACUACACUCAAGGCAUAUGCAAGGUCUGGUCUUGUAUGUGCCAAGUACAUUAAACGGCCUACUAACCUUUGGUAUCUCCCUUUGUCAACUGAUACUUGAUUAGGAUCAACACUAAGUUUCAAUCCUUCCUCUAAUGAUGUAGCUACUGGCUGACAAGCUGACAUGCCGGUUUCGUAUAACAAAUCAAUAAUAUACUUCCUCUGAGACAAAUAAAUUCCAGAAUUGCUUCUCGACACCUCAAUCCCUAGAAAAUAUUUUAGGGAUCCAAGGUCUUUCAUCUCAAAUUCUGUAGACAAGUAUCCUUGCAAGGCCGCACGUUCUUCUGGAUCAUUCCCUGUUACAACCAUAUCAUCUACAUACACAAUGAGUGCAGUAAGCUUCCCAUUUCAUCUUUUCAAAAACAGAGUAUGAUCGGAAUUACUUUUUGUGUAACCAAAUGCUCUCAUAGAUUUUGUGAAUGUUCCAAACCAUGCUCGAGGGAACUGCUUCAAACCAUACAAGGAUUUUUUCAACCUGCAUACCUUUCUUUUGUAUUUAUCAGGAGCACUACAUCCUGGUGGAAGAUCCAUCUAAAUUUCUUCUGUCAAAUCUCCAUGCAAGAAUGCAUUCUUCACAUCAAACUGUUGUAAGGUCCAAUUAAGAUUUGCAGCCAAGGACAACAAAAUAUGAACUGUGUUGAUCUUGGCCACAUAGGCAAAUGUAUCUGUAUAAUCGAUUCCAUAUUUUUUAGUGUGCCCUUUUGCUACCAGUCUUACCUUGAAACGAUCCACUGUCCCAUCAGCUUUGUACUUGACAGUAUAGACCCAUUUGCAUCCCACAGGUUUCUUGCUAGCUAGCAAGUCCAUGAUCUCCUGCACACUGUUAGGAAUAGAUACAGUAGAUAAUUGAAACACAAAUGACUUAUUUGAUUCUGAUAAGUGGCUGGUAGACACAUAAUUACCUAACGGGUAUAACACAUUAGAUUCUUGGUUGGGUCUAUUCACCGGGUACCUAGUUUUGCAUUUAGGGUCAACUUCGUAAGUAAGUUUAGGAAUACCUCGGUUGACACGGUUAGGGAGACAAUGUCGUGGUGGAGCAUCCGGGAUCGAAGACGAUUGAUCAUGGUUAUUGGGCCUCAAGGGUGGUGAGACCAACUGUGAGGUAGUUGGCGACAAUGAGUUGUCUAAUGGUGAGGAGGUUGGCAGUGAGUUGUCCAACGGUGAGGAAGGCAAUGAAUUUUCUGGCGGUGUCGGCUCAUCAACAUUGCUUUCAUGUGAAUGAUCACCACUUAACUCCAGGGCAUUACCACUUAAUUCCAAGUCAUUCACAUUAUUACUUUCUUGUGAAUCAUCACCACUUGUUUCCAAUACAUCACCACUUAAAUCCAAAUGAUUCACAUCAUUAUGUUUUUGUGAAUCAUCACCACUUGUUUCCAAUACAUCACCACUUAAACCCAAAUGAUUCACAUAAGGAAUAGUAUAAUCAAGAGUUUGAACUUCUGUCUGAUUCUCCCCCUGAAGUGCAGACUCUGAAUGGGCAAAGUACAUAUCGUUUUCAUGAAAUGCAACAUCCACAGUGACAAACAACUUUUUCGUCAGAGGAUGAUAGCAGCGAUAUACUUUUUUAUUAGAGGCAUACCCCAUAAACACACAACAUAAGGCUCGAGGUUCAAGCUUACUCCUAUGCUGUUUAUGGAGAUGAAUGAAAGCCACACAACCAAAAACGUGAGGUGGAAGAUUUGGAACUGCAUGAGCAUCAACAUGUGAGGAGAGAGCCUAAAGAGGUGUCUGAAAAUCAACUAAUCGGGAUGGAACGUGAUUAAUGAGAUACGCAGCCGAGGUGAGAGCUUCUCGCCAAUAGGAUAACGAGAGAUGCCCCUCGAGUAAGGAAGCAUGAACAACCUCCAGAAGGUGACGAUUCUUGCGCUCUGCAACCCCAUUUUGUUGUGAAGUGUAUGGACAUGUAGUUUGAUGAACAAUACCAUGAUGAUCCAGAAAGGCACGAAGUUCAGAGUUCAUAUACUCGCCACCAUUAUCACUCAUGAGAACCUGUAUUUGUGACUUAUACUGUACUUGAUCCAUUUUAUGAAAUUGCUAGAACAAGGAAGUAACUUCACUUUUUGACUUCAUCAAACAAACCCAAGUCAGACGUGUGCAAUCAUCAACAAAAGUAACGAACCAAUAAGCACCACCAAAUGUAGCAAUUUUAGAUUGUCCCCAAACAUCAGAAUGGAUUAUCAUAAAUGGAACAGAACUUUUUGUCAAACUGGACGGAAACGAAGUACGAUGACUUUUAGCUAGUUCACAAACACCACAUUUAAAGCUAGAAACGUCAUUCUUAACAAAUAGGCUAGGAAACAACCUCUGUAAAUAACCGAAAGAAGCAUGUCCAAGUCGACGAUGCCACAACCAAACCUUCGAAGCUUUAUUCCACUCCCCCUGAGAUCCUUCCACAGUAAGAGCUUGAGUCAACAGUUGGGUACUAUUUAAUGUCAGCUCCAAGUAGUAAAGCCUCCCUUUUCUGAUACCAUAACCAAUCGUCUUGCGAGUCCGAAUAUCCUUAAAAACACAAAAAGAAGGCCAAAAAAUAACAAGACAAUGUAGGGCGACGGUUAUUUGAGCAACAGAUAAUAAAUUAUAAUCAAGAGAAGAAACAACAAGGACGAUAUCAAGAUUAAGGGUAUCUGUAAGGGAGACAUCGUCUUCCCCAAUAAUAGGGGCAGGGUUACCAUUGGCAACACUUACAACAGUUUUGGUGGAUGGUUUUAGGGUUUGUACCUGUCUAGAAUCACAAGUCAUAUGUUCAGUGCACCGGAAUCAAUUAUCCAUGUAUUAUUCGUAACAGAUGCAGAAACCUUUAAAACUUUACCAUCGUUGUUUGUGUGUUCAGAAGCUACCUUAGCUUUGGCAAUCAAUGCACACGACUCAUUACAGCGGGAUGACGAGUCCAGUAUGUCAUUUCUCCGCAUGAGUUGAGUGGAACGUCUGAGGUGAUUGAUAGGGCCAAGAUUCCAAACCAACUAGGUCAACAAUGCGAGACCCUUAGAAAAAAAACAAACACUAACACAAAAAAGGACAAACUAUUUUUUAUUCCUUUUUUUUUCUUUUUUCCUUUUUUUCUUUUUUUCUUUUUUCUUUCUUCUUUUUCUUCUUUUUCUUUUUUUCUUUUUUCUUUUUUGCUUUUUCUUUUUUUCUUUUUUUCUUUUUUUCCUUUUCUUUUGUCCUUUUUUCCUUUCCUUACGCCUGGGGACUUCCUUCAACACACGGUAAAGCAAAAAAUAAAUGCAGAUAAGACCAAAUCACAUUUCCUUACACCUGGGGACUUCCUUCAACACACGGCAAAGCAAAAAAUAAAUGCAGAUAAGACCAAAUUAGUUUCGCAGAACACGAGUCAGUUUCUGGUGCAUACAAAAUUGCAGACAGAGGUCGUAGUUGUCAACCGGGAUUUGCAACGGCAAGGUUUCUAGAUUAGGAUCUCAGUUCGUGGGUAUGCGAUGCAGCAACGAACAGUAGUAGGUGAUUGCAGGGAUCGGCUUAGUGAACUUGGGUCAGCAACGACAGCGUCGCUCACUGGUCUGGAUGGAUGCAGGGGUCAGCUCGGUGAACUCGGAUCAGCAACGACGGCGUCGCUCGCUAGUGUGAUCGUGCGCUGCACAACUGGCUGCACAACCGAUGGUUCUUGGUUCUGCGCACAGCGAGCAACUUUUUUCCUUUUUUCUAACCUAGGCUCUGCCACAAAGAAGGGAAUGCUCUUUUGAAAUAAUUGUGUAUUUUAUUCAUCUCUCAAUGAGGGAUUUAUAAGAUGUUACAAUUCUAUCAAUAAGAAAAGAAAUAAUUUACAUAAAAUUAUAUUAAACUAAAAAUCCCAAGAUUACAGGAAUAUACACAAAAAGUCAACAUGCUCUGAUCAAGGGCAUUCUCCUUCCCUCGUUUGCUAGUUGAAUCAACACAAAUUGCCUGCCAAAACUUGAGACCAUAAACCCUCUUAAACAUAACUAAAAAUCAAACCAACAACAGUAUCAAUAUGCAUUCACAAAUCAAAUACUAUAAUCAACCGCACCUCCAUCUCUGCUGCCAAAAUCAACCUCUUGAGUCUUAAUAUUCCCAGGCCAUUCCUUGACUUUAUGAUGCUUUCUGACUACCUUGGCAUUGACAUCCUUAUGUAAGCAAACACAUGUUGCCCUUAGAUGAUAUAGUCCUGAAAUUUAGUUGAAUUAAAUAAUUAAAAACUGAUUGAUUGAUUAAUUAAACACACAGAAAAUAAUUGAAGAGAAACUUUUAGAGAGUCUGAAUCUUGGCUAUGGAAUGAAAAUGGUGCUAUCAUUUAGUUUAUGGAGAGUUUUAUAUUACUUCUGACAUCAUCAAUCUUGUGGAUAACUUUUUAAUAAGGGUAAAAGACUGUUUACUACCCUCAUGUUUCAUGGUUUUCAACAUUUAGUACAUCAAGUUUUUUUCGUCUCAGAAUCAUACCUAAAGUGUAAAUUUUGGGACAGUCUCAUACACCCGUUAGUCAAACUGUUAAAUCUGCCGUUAAUUGUGACGUGGCGCCCAUGUGGACAAUGACUGGGUGCCACGUGUCAGCCACAUUUUUUUUCUUUUCUUUUUUCUUCUUUCUUCUUUCUUCUUCUUCUUCAUCCGAUUGCAACUUUUUUUUUCUUCCUCCUUCUCCUUCUUCCUUCUUCCUUCUUCCUUCUUCCUUCCCCUUCUUCUCCUUCCUUCUUCUUCCUUCUUCCUUUCCCUUCUUCUCCUUCCUUCUUCCUUCUUCCUUCUCCUUCUCCUUCCUCCGAAUCUGGGGAAGUUUUUUUUUUUUUUUUCUUCUUCCUCCUUCUUCCUCCUUCCUCCUUCUUCCUUCUUCCUUCUCCUUCCUCCUUCUUCCUUCUUCCUUCUUCUUCCUCCGAAUCUGCCCAAAUUCGGUUUUUUUUUUCUCCUUCUUCCUCUUUUUUUCUCAUUCCUCCUCCUUCCUUCCUCUUCUUCUUCUUCUUCCUCCGAAUCUGCCCAGAUUUGGCUUCUUUUUUUCUUCUUUUUUCUUUUUUCUUCUUCUUCUUCUUCUUCCACCGACUGCAACUUUUUUUCCUUCUUUCUUCUUCUUCCUCCUCCUUCCUCCUUCUUCUUCCUUCUUCUUCUCCUUCUUCCUUCCUCCUUCUUCCUUCCCCUUCUUCUCCUUCUUCCUUCUUCCUUCUUCCUUCUUCUUCAUCUUCCUCAAAAAAAAAAAAAAAAACCUUCAUCUUCCCCAGAUUCGAAGGAAGAAGAAGGAAGAAGAAGGAAGAAGGAGGAAGGAGGAAGCAAGAAGGAGAAGAAGAAGGAAGAAAAAAAAAAAAAAAACCGAAUCUGGGUAGAUUCAGAGGAAGAAGAAGAAGAAGAGGAAAGAAGAAGAAGGAAGGAGGAGGAAGAAGGAAAAAAAAAAAAAAAACUUCCCCAGAUUCGGAGGAAAAAGAAGGAGAAGGAAGAAGAAGGAAGAAUGAGAAGAAGGGGAAGGAAGAAGGAGGAAGGAAGAAGGAGAAGGAGGAAGAAAAAAAAAGUUGCAGUCGGAGGAAGAAGAAGAAGAAAGAAGAAAGAAGAAAGAAGAACAAAGAAAAAAAAACGUGGCUGACACGUGGCGCCCAGUCAUUGUCCACAUGGGCGACACGUCACAAUUAACGGCAUAUUUAAUAGUUUGACUAACGGAUGUAUGAGACUGUCCCAAAAUUUACACUUUAGGUAUGACUCUAAGACGAAAAAAACUUGAUGUACUAAAUGUUGAAAACCACGAAACAUGAAGGUAGCAAACAGUCUUUUACCCUUUUAAUAAUUUAAACGAAAGUGUAUUCAGUAUCGGGAAUUGAGUAAAGAUAAUAUGUUCAUUGAACCAAACAUUACUAAAAUGAUACGUUCCUCACUUUGACUUGAGAUCUCAAAUGAUGACUUGGUCAUCUAUCUUGAUGCAAGGAAUGUGAGCUAUCGUCAUCCACUCUUCUCCCGUCUUCUCCUGACACCUCUUCUCCAGGGAAGAACAAUUUUUUAUUUCCAAUAAAGAAAGAGAUGCCGGAAGACCCUCUUUUGGCUGGAAUUCGAGACUAUCACAGUGGUGAAUACGGAGUUCUCGAAGACAAGUGAGGUGUUGAAGUCCCUUUCCCUCCAAAGAUUUUAGACUUUUCAUUUUAGAGAUUUGGAGACUUUUCAUGUCCCUCGACCUGAAGCCAGGGAUUAUUUCUCCCGGCCCACAUGCGAGCACCAUAAACCUCGCUGUUGCGGAAUAGUGACCACUAGAUAAGCACAAAACCAUUGAACAUAGUAUUUCCAAACAUAGGUACAUAUAUCUCAAAAACAUCUUCAUAGUAUAAGGUCAUCUAUCAUCUAUACUAUAAAGAAGUGGGUAAACACAUGUUCUAAAUAGUAUAUCGUCAUCCAUCAAAUACCCUACAAGAACAUGGGUUCGAUAGAAAAAUAUGGUAUUCCAAAAUAUUAGCAGUAAGCAUAAUAUCUCAUAAAACGUAAUCAUUAAAUCGUGCUUUUUAUGUAUGCAUUUUUACUAUUAAACAUGCAUUUUAGAAGGGGUCCACUCACAGAUACUCCGUCAAAGAUGAGCCGUACGAAAUAGGAAUGACGGAAUCGCCACUAUUAAUUGCACCUAAGCACAUAAAGGGUACAAUUAACAAAAUUAUACUCAAACGAUUGAAUUUGAGAAAAUAGAUAUCAUAAACGGGUCCAUGACGUCGAAAUUAGCCUAUGAAGGGUCCCGGACGAAACCUAAAAAAGUCAACCCGAAAAAUUAACUUUGAUGGUCAAAGUCAAAGUAAUCGGUCAACAUUAACCUGGUCAAUGGUCAGACCGGGUUUGAGUCAACAGGUCAAACCGGGUCACGGGCCAGAUCAAGGGUUUUGGUUGGGCUUAAAGGGUUUGGGUCCGAUGGGUUUUAGGGUUAGUGGACCGGAUCCAUGGCCCAAAGGCCUGUAUCCAAUAGGGUUUUGGGUCUGGCUUUGACAGGCUGGGCUCAAGUUCUACGAGCCAAAGGCCCAAGUUCCAUGCGACCCAAAGGCCUUAGGUCUUAGGGUUUUAAAAGGGUUUCACCGGGUUGGGCUUAGAAGCAAUGGCCCGAAGGCCCCAUAUCUACACGGCCCUAAGGACCGGUUUUAGGAAAUAAAUAUAAAAAAAAGGUUGGGCUUAAGGGUCACGAAGGCCUAGUCUAUUUGAUUUGGCUUGAAGGCCCUUUCUUUGUCGAGGAAGAAGGCCGGAGCCUUCCAAGCUCCGGUUAACGUCAUUUCACCGAUCUACCCUCUGAUCUACUUACGAACAUGAAGAUACAAGAACGGGGAAGAUGGACGGGGUGGCCGGGAUCUCGUGCAAAAGGCACGGGGCUCGUCAGAGAGAUUUGGGUGCCUUUAGGUGUCUCGGAGCUUGCAGAGACGAGGGGGAGUGAGAAAGAGUACACGGAGAUGGUAGUGGCGGUGCGUCGACGUCAAGGUGGAGGUGUAGGUGUGCGUGGGUGUGAUCGGGAAAUGAGGUGAGAAGGGGAGUUUCGAGAGAGAGUGAGAGUUAAGAGCUGAGAGUGAGAGAUCCGAGAGAGACUUGGGGAAAAAAAAAGGUAAGGUGAGUUCGUGGCCCGCCACGUGGCAGCGUGGGGGAGAAAGAAAAUCUAGAUAAAGGGUCCAAAUUCAAUUAGGAUAAGGGACCUUAUUGCACAUUUCAAUAACUUUUAGGGGAAAUGUGGGAUUACAAAGAAAUUUUGGGGAGGGGUUUUACAAAUCUUCCUUUCAUAUAUGACAAAUGCCGAACUCGUUUAGGAUCAUGUGGCUCUCCUUCAUCCAACCUAAAACAAAAUUCUCCAGACACAAACAUAGCCAAGUUAUUAAUGAGAUCAUGCAUUGUGAAACUUGAUUUCCCAAUUAAUGAUCUUUGAAGUAGUGAUCGUGACAAUAGUUCAUCAAAGUAUCUCUUGCCGACCUCUUCCAAUCCUUUACCACUCUCAGCUUGUGGAAUUAAACCCAGUGCCAUCCAAAGUUGAAUUAUAUUUUCCUUUUCAAAUUCAUAGUCCUUUGGGAAAAUUGAGAAAUAAGCAAAGCAUUGUUUCAAAUAAGUAGGGAGAUAAAGGUAACUCAUUCUUAAUGAUGGAAGAACACGUUUAUCAUGCAAUAUCUCCCAAAGAUUGUUGUUCAAUAUGUGACUCCAUUCCUUGUAAUCCACAUUACAACCUAAGAGACCCCGAAGUGCUUUUGCAGCUAAAGGAAGACCAUUGCACUUGCGUGCAAUUUGCUUACCAAUUUCUUCCAAGUCUGGAUACGCACUAGGAUUUUCAUUUCUAAAUGCAUGUUUUGCAAUUAACAACCAACAAUCUUCAUCUGACAAAUGUUUCAAGUAGUGAAUAGGCGCGGUGUGCACUAGGGAUGCAACACUUUUGUUUCUUAUUGUUACAAUGACCUUACUUCCCCUCACCCCAUAAGUAAAAGGAUCCCGUACAAGAUCCCAAUCAAUAUAGUUGUCAUUCUAAAGGUCGUCAACCACAAAUAGGAACUUUUCCCCCUCGCUUGUUCCCUUAGUUCAACUUGAACAAGAUAUCUUGAAGACUGCAAGGUUUUGAGCUAAUUGAUUCAAUAAGGGUUUUAGUUACCCUCAUAGCAUCAAAAUCUUCGGAAACACAUGCCCAAGCAGUAACAUCAAAAUGCUCUUUUAUUUUUUCAUCAUUGUAAAGGACCUGAGCAAGGGUUGUAUUACUAAUCCCCCGCCCAUUCCCACUAUGGGGAUUACUGAUACGUGGCUGCUACUCGCAUAAUCAGAUAGCAACGUUGUUUUCAACUUGUCCUUAUCUCCAUCCCUACCACAAGGAUGAAAUUCAUGCUCAACCAAGAAUGUUGUGGGAGUUCUUUAAGAAAUUUUCCCCUUAAGACCUCAUAUAAGACCAAGGAGAUUAAUUUGUUUUGCGAGGUGUUCUAACCUUUGGAAUAACUCUUGUAUCCUACCAUUCAUGCCUUGAUAAAAAGGAUUAAGAGAGGUAGAUAGGAAGUUCCACACCUGGGUUUUCUUAGUUUGAUAUUCAG
rnacentral:lncRNA from 1 species